CGCGGGCCGAGAUUUUCUUAGCCCAGCCCCACCUCACCGGGCGGGAGGGGUCCCACCGGAAGCCUUUCCGAAGUCACAGAGGCGACUCACCGUAGACGAUAAACAAACCACGAAACGACCGGCGCCACGGAGGAGAGCUCGAGAACUGCGCAGCAGGAUUAUGGAGUGUUGCCUUUGGGCAGGGAAGUUCGGGAAGGGGACGCUGGGCGCGAGGUGGGAGGCGGAAAGAAAGGAACCACGGCCGAUGAAGGAGCUUGCGUUUAUUACACGUGAAAACUAAAACCACUGACGAGCUCUGUCCUCUUUUCCUUCUGUAUUUGUGUGUGUGUCGGGCGCUCGUGGAGGUCAAGGACAACUUUGAGGAGUCAGGUCUCCUUCCAGCGGGUGGGUUUUGGCUGUCAAACUCAGGUCUUUAGGUUUGGCAGCCAAACACCCAUGAGUCAUCUCACCAACCCUUUCAUUCUUAGGUGACGUGAAAUAAAAGCAACCUGUUACAAAUAUA